rnacentral:rRNA from 1 species
UACGGGGGGAGCAAGCGUUGUUCGGAUUUACUGGGCGUAAAGGGCGCGUAGGCGGCCACCGCAGUUCGGUUGUGAAAUCUCCGGGCUUAACCCGGAACGGUCAAUCGAUACUGCGGGGCUAGAGUGCAGAAGGGGCAACUGGAAUUCUCGGUGUAGCGGUGAAAUGCGUAGAUAUCGAGAGGAACACCUGCGGCGAAGGCGGGUUGCUGGGCUGACACUGACGCUGAAGCGCGAAAGCGAGGGGAGCGAACGGG